ensembl:lncRNA
GGCUGUUUAAAGAAAGUUGCUUCAGCAUGGGGACACGAGCUGCACGGCAUUUUUAAGGCCAUGUUCUUUUAAGCAGACCACAUUAUGUAACACUUUAAUGAAGUGGCCAACAGGGUCUCCUCUCGGGGGAAAGAAAAGCUAGCUUUCUUUCUGACACAAAGGGCUGACAUCCAUAAAAGGAGAAACAACAAGUUGACAUGGAUCAGUUUAAUAUGAAACCAACAUUAAUUCAGGCUAACAUUACACGGUGGACUCCAGAAAUGAACAAUUUUCUACACAGAUAAGUCAAACAGAAGCAACACUAACACUGCACACAGCGUCUAAUCACAGCAGAGAUACAUGAACGAGGAUCUUCUGAGCAGUCGAUUAGUGCAGGGGGCACAAAACUCGGUGUCACCGCCAAGACCCAGGCCAAAGAAGAAAAUGAAAACCACAGGAAUCCCUGGAAAACAAUCUUAGUACUACAAAGGUUUUACGCAACUAAGGUACACUUCCUAUGUUGCAUACAAAAAUAUUCAUCUUGUCCAGCUCAAAGCGAAGAUGGGGAGCAGGUCAGAGUAGAAAUGUGUCACUUUAAACAGAAUGAGCUGUCUGAAUGGAUCAUGCAAGCUGAACUCUGAUAUAUUAAAGCCAAUGACAGGCAAGUCUUCACAUACAUUAAACCUGGUGCUGGCUGGCUGAGUCAUAACUGUACUUAUGUAACAAACUAUGGCAGUCAGAGAGGGACACUGUACACAUGGGCCGAGCGCCGUGUCCACACAAACGUUAAAAACAGCGACAAGAAGUGGAAUUAAGUUACAGAGUGAACGAUCACAGCCUGUCACUGUUCACAACAUCAUGGAUCCAUAAAAAAUAAAGCACUGGUUACAUUUCUGUGAGCACAGACUUCAGUCUAUGGGUACAUGGUGACCAUUCCUCUGACCCACACUUAAUUCUGGGGGGGGGGGGGGGGGGGGGCAGGAGGCAUGCCAAAAGGGGGCAUGCCCGGUACCCCCAUCCCCAUCAUUGUGACAAAGUUAGAGGGGUCCAUGGGUGGUGGAGGUGGUGGUGGUGGUGGUGGAGCGCCCGGGGGCAGUGGGGGCUGGACCCCAGGUGGAGGAGGCACCAUGGACGGAGUACCCAUGGGUGGUGGGGGCUGGGCUCCAGAGGCUGCAGGCUGUUGGGGCUGUUGCCAUGGAGGCAGAGUGCCGGUGGCGGGGCUAGAUGUGGUGGUGGUGUCUGUAAGAGAGCAGGGGACACAUGGAAAUGAACUGUAGGCAAACAUAAAGGCUCCUUAUGCAUAGAGUCUCCACAGAUCUGUGAAUAAGGUGCGGUGAGUACGUCUUUGUGUGUGUGUAAGGACAAAGACAUAUUGUAAAUAUGCACUGCCUAUCUGUUUGAUUCGGUGAUAAACUCUCUGUCAAAUCAACACACCGAGGUCAACACUCGUCUUUGGGUGACAGCCCCCCCCCAGAAACCAAAAAAAUGAAGCCGUUUUGUUAUAGAUUACACAGUGAACACACUAUCUCUCGUUUCAGUGUACACAGGAACCAGUUUUGAAACCACUGACGUAUAAAAGAGCUGUGUGUGUGCUGAACCACUGAAAGUUUUCUCAAUAAAGCUUUUGUGCGCUCUUACUCUGUUGCCAGGGCAGUGGUGUGCUAGUUGCCAUGCUGCUGGUUGGAGGGGGAGGUGGAGCCUGCUGUUGCCAAGGUGGCAGAGGACCUGAAGGGGGAGGCGGUGGCUGGCUGCUUGGGGGAGGAGGUGGAGGUGGCAUCAUACCCAUUGGAGGUGGCAGCAGACCUACAACAAAAGCACAUAAGAUUGGGGGUUCUUUUCUAUUUUGCAGAUUUUCUACAGUAAAGUUUUGGGUCCUUUUCUAAUACAGCAGACGCUCAGACGCUUCUUUUGCGUUUGACCUCUUCAAUAUUGGAAAGUCUUUACAAUAAAACACACUUCAAAGCAACUUAAGUACGACACAAAGAACUCAGGAGGUGAACUGAAUCUUACACAGAGUUCAUUAGCUUUCAUGAGACGUCUCAGUAACUCGACUUGAAAAAUCUAAAAGCCUUCAUGAGAGUCCAGCCUGUGCCAGCUCCCUGCCACUGGCACUGUAUGGAUCACCAGGUCUUAGCCUUUUACCCAAACUGUACUGUUAUCACCACCAUGCAGAAUUUAAUCCUCCAUACACUCUGAUUUUUGUUGGCAGUAUCCGGACCUUAAGUCUGACAUCAUUAGCUGUGUCUGGGCCCAAACUCCGCUUCAGGUCCCAAAAAACAAACUAACACUGCAGCAUCACUGAGAGUUACAAACUGUCUAAAUUCUUUCAUCUUUAAUAAAAUGAUCAGUGUUGCUGCUUUACCAGGUGUAACUAUUAAGUUUAACAUCCAGGCAUCCACGAAAACAGAAUUUAUUAAAUUCAACAAAGUUAGAAGUUAGCAGGAAGUUAGCUCGCUAGUUUCCACCUAAACAUGAUAUAGCAUGUUCUGAUUGAAGUUUUUCAUAAAUCUCUCAAACAUACAGCUCUGCUAUCACUUCCAACAUAAAUAAAGACAGAAAACUAAACAGCAGUGACAUUUGUAGGGUUACUGAAGUUGGGCUAGCUGGUAUAUAAUGAUGUGCUACGUGGUGGCUAGCGACACAGCUUUGUUAGCACAAUAUAAACACGGUGAAGCUGGAGGAUGAACGCUAACUUUUUUCCACUCAAUAAAACAUGAGGGUUCCUGAUGGUUAGGGACAAAUGCAAUCACAUGGCAGGAUGCUGUAAACGGACCAAACUUCAGUCAGGAGAACAACUGAGACAA